rnacentral:rRNA from 1 species
AACGAACGCUGGCGGCAGGCCUAAAACAUGCAAGUCGAACGAACCUUCGGGUUAGUGGCGCACGGGUGAGUAACGCGUGGGAAUGUGCCUCUGGGUGCGGAACAACGUCGGGAAACUGACGCUAAUACCGCAUAAUGUCUACGGACCAAAGAUUUAUCGCCCAGAGAUCAGCCCGCGUCUGAUUAGCUAGUUGGUGAGGUAACGGCUCACCAAGGCUACGAUCAGUAGCUGGUCUGAGAGGAUGAUCAGCCACACUGGAACUGAGACACGGUCCAGACUCCUACGGGAGGCAGCAGUGAGGAAUAUUGGUCAAUGGGCGGAAGCCUGAACCAGCCAUGCCGCGUGCAGGAUGACGGCCCUACGGGUUGUAAACUGCUUUUCCCGGGCGAAUAACCCCCUCGCGAGGGGAGUGCCGGUACCGGGGAAGUAAGGAUCGGCUAACUCCGUGCCAGCAGCCGCGGUAACUCGUCUCUA